AAUGAACGUUGGCGGCGUGGAUUAGGCAUGCAAGUCGGACGCCCCGCAAGGGGCGUGGCGCAAGGGUGAGUAAGGCGACGGCAACCCACCCCGGAGAUGGCGAUAGCCGCGGGAAACCGCGGGUAAACGCCAGCGACGCGGACGCCCGGCAUCGGGCGGACGCCAAAUGGUGAGACUCCGCUCCGGGACGGGCCGUCGUGGCAUUCGCUUGAUGGUUGGGGUGACGGCCCACCAUGGCGAGGAUGCCUACCGGGCGUGCGAGCGCGGCCCGGCACACUGGGACUGAGACACUGCCCAGACUCCUACGGGAGGCUGCAGUCGAGAAUCUUCGGCAAUGGGCGCAAGCCCGACCGAGCGACGCCGCGUGGGGGACGAAGGCCCUCGGGUUGUAAACCCCUGUCGGGGGGGGAACAAGGGGGUGUGCAGAACACCCCUUGAGUGAACCCCGAAGGAAGCACGGGCUAAGUUCGUGCCAGCCGCCGCGGUAACAC
rnacentral:rRNA from 1 species